ensembl:lncRNA
CUUUGCUUUUCACAAGCAGUAGGAGUUUUGCCCCAUAGCUAUCACAACUGGAAAUGUGCUGAGUCUCACUUGAAGACAAUAAGUGUGAGUCUUUCCUGAGCCCUCAACAUAGUACCUUAGUAUUGCUGCUGGUUAUUCAGGGCUGAAGGGCUCUUUAGUUAGGAGGUGGUUAAUGCUGCUAGAACUGGUCUCUUCAAGGAAGAAAAUUCCCUUCUGGCCAAGUGCUGUAUCUAGGAAUGGUUUCCAGUAGUUAGGGCCUGAAACAGGACCCCCAUGGCUCUUACUGGUGCCCUAUAUUGCUGUGGCUGAUCUGGUAUCCAGAAUGCAAGACAAAGUUAUUCCCACUCUUCUUUCAAAAGGUAGCAAGGGGUCUCUUUUAGAGCUGUGAUCUGCAUAGCCUGGGAUUAGGGGAGGGUUGAUCCCAGCACCCUCUUAGCCACUCUGGCUGGUGUCUCAGUAGAUCAUGUGCCUCCCCUAGUCCUCCGACUCUAGGCCCAGCUCAACACUAGAACUGACCUAUGUGUUGAAGUUCCUGUGGCAUAGACUGUCUUUCAAAUUUAUUUAGAGCCCCAGAGCACCUAUAGCCUAUGGUGAUGAGGCUUGUAGGAACUCAAGUUCCAAUUGCUGGGAUUGGCAAUUACCCUAUGGCUAAGCCAGUUUAAAUGCUCCUUCCAUGAGUAGAAGUCAGCCGAGUUUGUUCCGGUUUUUGUUUCAGCUAUAACAGGACUGCAGUCCUCAUACAUGCUGCCAUCUUCCUCCCCCAGCAGACAGAAUGGCUCCCCACACCAUGCAAGGACUGCAGGGGGAUGAGGGAGAAGUGGCAUUGGCAAUUCAAGACUGUUUUUCUCUACCUCUUCAGUCUCUCAUUCAGCAAUAUAAAGCUAAAACCAGGCCAUCAAACUCCAAAUAGCCAUGCAAAUGGAGCCUCAGAUGAUGACUCCUUUUCACUGGGGAUCCUUAGAUAGGCCUCUGAGAGAAGAUCUGACUUCUGUUUUCCCCAAAACAUGCCCCCUGUCACCAUGAAGCAGUUAAGAUAAGUCAUCACGGGAUCCUAACACAGGAGGGAUUGAUGGCAGCAGCAGCCCAUCUGGAGCAGCUGGAGCUGUGCACUCCAGAAAGCUGGCAGGAACAAGGAACAGGUGGGAGACCUGCCCCCUUCCAAGUUGGCAGUGUGGGAGCCCUGCCCUGCUGGGUUCAGCUGUAGCCACCCAGCCAUGGCUGUGUACGCAGGCAUCUCUGCACUCUUAGGGGACUGGGAAGCCCUGUGUCCCCAGAGGCUCAGAAGUGCCUGUUCCCACUGCCUGGCCUCUCCCAGCUCCUGGCACAUGCUCUGAUUUUGGAGCAAAUUUGAAGCCAAGCCUGGGCCCUGUCACUGUCCAGCUGGAUAUGCCUGAACCCAAGGCAGUGCUGACAUGCCAGCCCCCUGCCACCUCAGCCCCCUCUGGAACUUGGGUGCUGAUAAGCACAGGAAGGAGUCUGAGGUGAAGCUUAGGGUGGCUUGGCACAGGUCUGCAGGCAUCCCUUGGCAUGAAAAGCCCGGGUGUCAUGGAUGACAUGGUUGGUGGUGGCAGGAGACAGACAGGUUCCUGGGUAGAAAGGGGUGGGUAUCCAGUGAAAUCCCACCUUCA